UUUCAGGUUUGACCCCUCGCACACCCUGACCCCAGGUGAAGACAGAGCCCACUGGAUAGUUGACCAAAGGAUGGGCUCUGAUCUAAGCCCUCUGAAGCAACUUUGGCUUCUGGAUAUAUGACCUCUUCAAUUAGAAAUGCUCUCUGGUCCUGUUUUGUACUUGAUUCAGCUGGUGAAGACCAAGAAGUCUUGGCCAGUCAAGUAUUCCAUAUGGCAAUGAAGACUGUUAACCUAUGCACUUUCACUUCUGGAACUGAGCCCCCAAGGAUGUACCAGAAGCUAUAUGAGUUUGCUACUUACCUGGACCACCAUGGCAGCAGCAAUACCUACAAUUACAAAGAGAUAUUGGAACAAUUGUCCAGAGAGACCGAGAAUUCUCCGCUACCAUUGACACCAGUACUAGGAAGAGACCUGUCACCUGGAUGACAUGGGGUGCCUCUGAGCUUUGGAUGCAGAAGAGCUUGAGGCACUGCAAACAAAAAGGACAGUAAGCAGCUCUAUUUGGGAACUGGAAGCCUGAUGGAAAGGGAGGUGAACACUCUCCCCUCCUGUAAUUCUUUACUUGACUAGAGAAUUCACCAAUGCCCUGCUGAGGAAGGCACACAGAUGGUCCCAGAAUUACAUUGUAGUUUGAUUUGCAAGAUACUCUGGUUUGCUUUUGCACGGGUUAAUUGGUAAGCUCUAUGUAGUUCAUUUCAGAGUUUUCUCAAUUAAUUUUUUUGGCUGCCUUUGUAAGUUUUCAAGUCCACAAUCUGGUUGCUAAGGAGAAGUUUCUGUAUCACUUGGACCCCACACUGACAUUCAAGUUAAAAAUUUGUAGAGUGGACCAGGUAAGUCACACCCCAGCUGAGGGCCAGAGUGAAGCCUGAAAUUAUGAUUGUGCAUUAUAAACUAAAGUGCAAAAUCAACAUUUAUUUUGUUGCUGGAAUUUUUCAGAGUCAGAUUCUAAGUAUUCCUUUUGUCACUGUCAGCAACAGCCUUCUAACAGUGUUUCCU
rnacentral:lncRNA from 1 species